GAUGAACGCUAGCGGCAGGCUUAACACAUGCAAGUCGAGGGGUAUGCCGAUUUAUCGGCAGAGACCGGCGCACGGGUGCGUAACGCGUAUGCAAUCUGCCUUUCACAGAGGGAUAGCCCAGAGAAAUUUGGAUUAAUACCUCAUAGUAUAGUAAGUUGGCAUCAACCUGCUAUUAAAGUCACAACGGUGAAAGAUGAGCAUGCGUACCAUUAGCUAGUUGGUAAGGUAACGGCUUACCAAGGCUACGAUGGGUAGGGGUCCUGAGAGGGAGAUCCCCCACACUGGUACUGAGACACGGACCAGACUCCUACGGGUGGCAGCAGUGAGGAGUAUUGGUCAAUGGGCGCAAGCCUGAACCAGCCAUGCCGCGUGCAGGAUGACGGUCCUAUGGAUUGUAAACUGCUUUUGUACGAGAAGAAACACUCCUACGUGUAGGGGCUUGACGGUAUCGUAAGAAUAAGGAUCGGCUAACUCCGUGCCAGCAGCCGCCGUAAAAC
rnacentral:rRNA from 1 species